rnacentral:rRNA from 1 species
UACGUAGGGCGCAAGCGUUAUCCGGAAUUAUUGGGCGUAAAGAGCUCGUAGGCGGUUUGUCGCGUCUGCCGUGAAAGUCCGGGGCUCAACUCCGGAUCUGCGGUGGGUACGGGCAGACUAGAGUGCAGUAGGGGAGACUGGAAUUCCUGGUGUGGCGGUGAAAUGCGCAGAUAUCAGGAGGAACACCGAUGGCGAAGGCAGGUCUCUGGGCUGUAACUGACGCUGAGGAGCGAAAGCAUGGGGAGCGAACAGG